GACGCUAAAGCUCGAAAGUGCGGGUAUCGAACAGGAUUAGAUACCCUGGUAGUCCGCACGGUAAACGAUGGAUGCCCGCUGUUUGCGAUACAAUGUAAGCGGCCAAGCGAAAGCGUUAAGCAUCCCACCUGGGGAGUACGCCGGCAACGGUGAAACUCAAAGGAAUUGACGGGGGCCCGCACAAGCGGAGGAACAUGUGGUUUAAUUCGAUGAUACGCGAGGAACCUUACCCGGGCUUGAACUGCAGCGGAGGGAUUGAGAGAUCAUGACGCCCUUCGGGGCCGCUGUGGAGGUGCUGCAUGGUUGUCGUCAGCUCGUGCCGUGAGGUGUCGGCUUAAGUGCCAUAACGAGCGCAACCCCUUUCGUCAGUUGCCAUCAGGUUAAGCUGGGCACUCUGGCGACACUGCCACCGUAAGGUGUGAGGAAGGUGGGGAUGACGUCAAAUCAGCACGGCCCUUACGUCCGGGGCUACACACGUGUUACAAUGGGUGGUACAGAGAGUCGGCCGCUGGCAAUAGCGGUCCAAUCAUGAAAGCCAUCCUCAGUUCGGAUUGGGGUCUGCAACCCGACCCCAUGAAGCUGGAUUCGCUAGUAAUCCGC
rnacentral:rRNA from 1 species